CCUGUGUUUACAACCUACUAGUUCCAAACAGGGUUUUCUACAGAUCAUCAUGCCUCCUAAUAGUUCAGCUGUUGGCAGGAAAGUAAAUAUUCAGGGUCCUGCUUUUUUAUUCCUUUCACUAUAGUGUUCCUAUAAGAUUCCAUCUAAACCAACUGUCCCUUAACUGCCAUAUUUUUUCUUCCUACAUCAGAGGUUCUCAAC